GAUGAACGCUGGCGGCGUGCCUAAUACAUGCAAGUCGAGCGAACAGACGAGGAGCUUGCUCCUCUGACGUUAGCGGCGGACGGGUGAGUAACACGUGGAUAACCUACCUAUAAGACUGGGAUAACUUCGGGAAACCGGAGCUAAUACCGGAUAAUAUAUUGAACCGCAUGGUUCAAUAGUGAAAGACGGUUUUGCUGUCCCUUAUAGAUGGAUCCGCGCCGCAUUAGCUAGUUGGUAAGGUAACGGCUUACCAAGGCAACGAUGCGUAGCCGACCUGAGAGGGUGAUCGGCCACACUGGAACUGAGACACGGUCCAGACUCCUACGGGAGGCAGCAGUAGGGAAUCUUCCGCAAUGGGCGAAAGCCUGACGGAGCAACGCCGCGUGAGUGAUGAAGGUCUUCGGAUCGUAAAACUCUGUUAUUAGGGAAGAACAAAUGUGUAAGUAACUAUGCACGUCUUGACGGUACCUAAUCAGAAAGCCACGGCUAACUACGUG
rnacentral:rRNA from 1 species